UACGUAGGCAGCAAGCGUUGUUCGGAAUUAUUGGGCGUAAAGAGUAUGUAGGCGGUUCACUAAGUCUGAUGUGAAAUCUCCCGGCUUAACUGGGAGGGUGCGUCGGAUACUGGUGGGCUCGAGUACGGGAGAGGGAAGCGGAAUUCCUGGUGUAGCGGUGAAAUGCGUAGAUAUCAGGAGGAACACCGGUGGUGUAGACGGCUUCCUGGACCGUAACUGACGCUGAGAUACGAAAGCGUGGGUAGCAAACAGG
rnacentral:rRNA from 1 species